GAGUUUGAUCUUGGCUCAGGACGAACGCUGGCGGCGUGCCUAAUACAUGCAAGUCGAGCGGAUCUUCAUUAGCUUGCUUUUGAAGAUCAGCGGCGGACGGGUGAGUAACACGUGGGCAACCUGCCUGUAAGGACUGGGAUAACUUCGGGAAACCGGAGCUAAUACCGGAUAAUCCUUUUCCUCUCAUGGAGGAAAAGCUGAAAGACGGUUUCGGCUGUCACUUACAGAUGGGCCCGCGGCGCAUUAGCUAGUUGGUGAGGUAACGGCUCACCAAGGCGACGAUGCGUAGCCGACCUGAGAGGUGAUCGGCCACACUGGGACUGAGACACGGCCCAGACUCCUACGGGAGGCAGCAGUGGGGAAUCUUCCGCAAUGGACGAAAGUCUGACGGAGCAACG
rnacentral:rRNA from 1 species